rnacentral:tRNA from 1 species
GCCGCGGUAGCUCAGUGGUAGAGCGCAUCCCUAAACUCUUUGGGGCUUUCCGCAGUAAUGCGGAUUGAAAAAUUGGGUGAAUUCGGGGAAGGUCUGCGUUUAUAAAAACAAAGAAUAAUCCCGAGCCAAGUUCUGCAGGAUUUUAGUUGCAGAAAAGCUGUAGAGACUAUCCCGAAAGGGAGUACCCCGACGGUACCGUCGGGGGAAGCGCCCAACUCCGUAAUCGUUAAGAACGGAGUCGGGGGUUCAAUUCCCUCCCGCGGCA